rnacentral:rRNA from 1 species
UACGUAGGGUCCGAGCGUUGUCCGGAAUUAUUGGGCGUAAAGGGCUCGUAGGCGGUCUGUUGCGUCGGGAGUGAAAUCUUACAGCUUAACUGUGAACUUGCUUUCGAUACGGGCAGACUUGAGGUAUUCAGGGGAGAACGGAAUUCCUGGUGUAGCGGUGAAAUGCGCAGAUAUCAGGAGGAACACCGGUGGCGAAGGCGGCAUCCUGGACCGGCAUUGACGCUGAGGCGCGAAAGCCAGGGGAGCAAACGGG